GUUACCAAACUGUUGCCUCGGCGGGAUCUCUGCCCCGGGUGCGUCCCAGCCCCGGACCAAGGCGCCCGCCGGAGGACCAACCAAAACUCUUAUUGUAUACCCCCUCGCGGGUUUUUUUAUAAUCUGAGCCUUCUCGGCGCCUCUCGUAGGCGUUUCGAAAAUGAAUCAAAACUUUCAACAACGGAUCUCUUGGUUCUGGCAUCGAUGAAGAACGCAGCGAAAUGCGAUAAGUAAUGUGAAUUGCAGAAUUCAGUGAAUCAUCGAAUCUUUGAACGCACAUUGCGCCCGCCAGUAUUCUGGCGGGCAUGCCUGUCCGAGCGUCAUUUCAACCCUCGAACCCCUCCGGGGGGUCGGCGUUGGGGAUCGGCCCUGCCUUGGCGGUGGCCGUCUCCGAAAUACAGUGGCGGUCUCGCCGCAGCCUCUCCUGCGCAGUAGUUUGCACACUCGCAUCGGGAGCGCGGCGCGUCCACAGCCGUUAAACACCCAACUUCUGAAAUGUUGACCUCGGAUCAGGUAGGAAUACCCGCUGAACUUAAGCAUAUCAUA
rnacentral:rRNA from 1 species